CUUUAAACUUAUUUCUAAGCUUAAAAUCCUUAUUCAACUACAUCUAUCAAUCUUCCACAAAAUUAGGUUUUUUAUUUUUCGACCAUCAAAUUCGCAAUAUUGCAUGAUUUUCGGAAAAAAUUGUGUUGUAUAGAUCAUCAAAAAGGAUCUGGGUUGUUGAACCCUAAGGAGAUUCACAAGAGGUAGAAACUAUACCGGUAACUUCAUGGUUGAAAUACCAUCUUUUGAUCUAUAUAUAACUCAAAUUCAAUCGCAAAUUUCAGGCUAUACAGUUGCGAUGAAAUUAGAGAAGAAGUCUAUGAACUAGUAAGGUCUAGUCCUUCUAAAAAGAAAGUAGUGUCAACGGUGAAAGCAAUCGGAAAAAAAUGUUACAAGAAGAGGAAAGUAAAAAAUUCUGUCCCGGACAUGAUUGGAGAACCGGUUGUUAAUGAAGAACAAGACGAAGUGAGUGAAGAAUCACAUAGUUCACCAAUUUCAUCUUUUUAUUCGUCUUCUUGGUGUGUGAAACCAAGAGAUGAUUUUGACUUGUCACAAAAAUCCAGCAGUAGAGAUCUUGUAACACUCAUGUCUGCAUGUUGUAUAAAAUAUAUUUAACUA